rnacentral:rRNA from 1 species
AAGGACAUGUGGAGCGCUUAGAAGUGAGAAUGCCGGUGUGAGUAGCGAAAGACGGGUGAGAAUCCCGUCCACCGAUUGACUAAGGUUUCCAGAGGAAGGCUCGUCCGCUCUGGGUUAGUCGGGUCCUAAGCUGAGGCCGACAGGCGUAGGCGAUGGAUAACAGGUUGAUAUUCCUGUACCACCUAUAAUCGUUUUAAUCGAUGGGGGGACGCAGUAGGAUAGGCGAAGCGUACGAUUGGAUUGUACGUCUAAGCAGUGAGAUUGAGUGUUAGGCAAAUCCGGCACUCUUAAGAUUGAGCUGUGAUGGGGAGAGGAAAUUGUUUCCUCGAGUCGUUGAUUUCACACUGCCGAGAAAAGCCUCUAGAUAGAGAUUAGGUGCCCGUACCGCAAACCGACACAGGUAGUCAAGAUGAGAAUUCUAAGGUGAGCGAGCGAACUCUCGUUAAGGAACUCGGCAAAAUGACCCCGUAACUUCGGGAGAAGGGGUGCUCUUUAGGGUGCAAGCCCAGAAGAGCCGCAGUGAAUAGGCCCAAGCGACUGUUUAUCAAAAACACAGGUCUCUGCUAAACCGUAAGGUGAUGUAUAGGGGCUGACGCCUGCCCGGUGCUGGAAGGUUAAGAGGAGUGGUUAGCUUCUGCGAAGCUACGAAUCGAAGCCCCAGUAAACGGCGGCCGUAACUAUAACGGUCCUAAGGUAGCGAAAUUCCUUGUCGGGUAAGUUCCGACCCGCACGAAAGGCGUAACGAUUUGGGCACUGUCUCAACGAGAGACUCGGUGAAAUCAUAGUACCUGUGAAGAUGCAGGUUACCCGCGACAGGACGGAAAGACCCCGUGGAGCUUUACUGUAGCCUGAUAUUGAAAUUCGGCACAGCUUGUACAGGAUAGGUAGGAGCCUUUGAAACGUGAGCGCUAGCUUACGUGGAGGCGUUGGUGGGAUACUACCCUAGCUGUGUUGGCUUUCUAACCCGCACCACUUAUCGUGGUGGGAGACAGUGUCAGGCGGGCAGUUUGACUGGGGCGGUCGCCUCCUAAAAGGUAACGGAGGCGCUCAAAGGUUCCCUCAGAAUGGUUGGAAAUCAUUCAUAGAGUGUAAAGGCAUAAGGGAGCUUGACUGCGAGACCUACAAGUCGAGCAGGGUCGAAAGACGGACUUAGUGAUCCGGUGGUUCCGCAUGGAAGGGCCAUCGCUCAACGGAUAAAAGCUACCCCGGGGAUAACAGGCUUAUCUCCCCCAAGAGUUCACAUCGACGGGGAGGUUUGGCACCUCGAUGUCGGCUCAUCGCAUCCUGGGGCUGUAGUCGGUCCCAAGGGUUGGGCUGUUCGCCCAUUAAAGCGGUACGCGAGCUGGGUUCAGAACGUCGUGAGACAGUUCGGUCCCUAUCCGUCGUGGGCGUAGGAAAUUUGAGAGGAGCUGUCCUUAGUACGAGAGGACCGGGAUGGACAUACCUCUGGUGUACCAGUUGUCGUGCCAACGGCAUAGCUGGGUAGCUAUGUAUGGACGGGAUAAGUGCUGAAAGCAUCUAAGCAUGAAGCCCCCCUCAAGAUGAGAUUUCCCAACUUCGGUUAUAAGAUCCCUCAGAGAUGAUGAGGUUAAUAGGUUCGAGGUGGAAGCGUGGU